UACGUAGGGUGCGAGCGUUAAUCGGAAUUACUGGGCGUAAAGCGUGCGCAGGCGGUUCGUUGUGUCUGCUGUGAAAUCCCCGGGCUCAACCUGGGAAUGGCAGUGGAAACUGGCGAGCUUGAGUGUGGCAGAGGGGGGUGGAAUUCCGCGUAUAGCAGUGAAAUGCGUAGAGAUGCGGAGGAACACCGAUGGCGAAGGCAACCCCCUGGGCUGACACUGACGCUCAGGCACGAAAGCGUGGGGAGCAAACAGG
rnacentral:rRNA from 1 species